GACGAACGCUGGCGGCGUGCUUAACACAUGCAAGUCGAACGGAAAGGCCUGCUUUCCCUUGUGGAUUGCGGGUACUCGAGGGGCGAACGGGUGAGUAACACGUGAGUGAUCUGAACACAACUUGGGUAUAAGCCUGGGAAACUGGGUCUAAUUCCCGAUAGGACUGCAGGGUGGUGCCUGUGGUGGAACACGAUUUUCUAGUGGUUGGGGAUGAGCUCGCGGCCUAUCAGCUUGUUGGUGGGGUAAUGACCUACCAAGGCGGCGACGGGUAGCCGGCCUGAGAGGGUGUACGGCCACAGUGGGACUGAGAUACGACCCAGACUCCUGCGGGAGGCAGCAGUGGGGAAUAGUGCACAAUGGGCGGAAGCCUGAUGCAGCGACGCCGCGUGGGGGAUGACAUCCUUCGGGUGGUAAACUCCUUUCGACCGCGCGGACGCCACCUGGUUGGAAGGGUGGUGACGGUAGUGGUAGAAGAAGCACCGGCUAACUACGUG
rnacentral:rRNA from 1 species